UUAACCCAAGCUCUAUUUAGGAAGAAGUUACAGCUUGUGUUGCAACAAAACAAUAAGAUCCAAUACACCAACUGUGAUGGUUAAUACUGUCAACUUGAUUGGAUUGAACGAUGCAAAGUAUUGAUCCUGGGUGUGUCUGUGUGGGUGUUGCCAAAGGAGAUUAACAUUUGAGUCAGUGAGCUGGGGAAGGCAGACCCACCCUUAACCUGGUGGGCACAAUCUAGUCAGCUGCCAGUGAAUAUAAAGCAGGAAGAAGACAGUGAAAAUGUGAGACUGGCCUGGGCUCCCAGCCUACAUCUUUCUCCCAUGCUGGAUGCUUCCUGUCCUCAAACAUUGGACUCCAAGUUCUUCAGUUUUGAGACUUGAACUGGCUCUCCUUGCUCCUCAAGCUUGCAGACAGCCUAUUUUG
rnacentral:lncRNA from 1 species